GCAAGAGGAGGCAGAACGGUCGGCGGCUGGAGGCUGUGGGAGUUGGAGUUGAUAGAGAGCGUUUCCCAGUGCUUCAUGUGGCAGAUGCCACAUUUGCAGAUCCAGAGAGGUGAUGUGAGGCACUGGCGCAGGUGAAGCCUGAGCAGAACCCCAAAGUUGGAACUUCGGCUUAUUUACGCUCUAUCAGUUUAUGCCUCACGUAUUUUGAUGCUCCAUUGUUGGGUGCCCACACAACAAGGAAUUAUCCUGUUUUCUUGGAGUAAAGACCCUAUGAUCACUUGGACUAAUGAGGGACAUAAAAGGCAGCCACUGGUGCAGCCAGCCCAGGCCUGAAGCACCAGCGGAGAGAAGGGCUCGUCAGUAGAAUGUCCAGUCAUUGGAGCCGAGAGGAGGAAUGGGGAGGCUGCCACUGGGCUCUAAGCACUGCAGCAACUUCAGGGUGAGAACUGAGGCCAAGGGCUAUCGUAAACUCCUGGUGGGCUACAACACAGCCAUGUCCGUCUGAGUGCUGGGAUCACCAUCGCUGCCUACCUGCCCUUCAAGGUCCUUGUGGAUGUUGCUCAUUUCUCCUGCAAAGCCUACCUGUCUGGAGCUAAUUGAUAGAGGCAGCACAGAGAGACUGGUGCCAUCAGAGGAAGAUGGUCAUCGCCUUGGUUUCCAAGAGAAGGGGCCGGCCACACCAUACGGUGCAGGGCCACAGAGGGGAAGCACCAUUGCCACAGGGAGCUGGAGCCUAACUCAGAGAAGACACAUCAGCAUGGUCCCAGGGGGAAGUGAGUGCUGUCCGGCCCAGAUAGAAGUCAUUGAGACCUUCCACCUAAAGUUCUUCAUCAGCUGCUGGCUGCAGUUCAAGCUAGCCAUCUCCGACUUUCCAGGAUGUGAGGUUUUUGCCACCAAACCAGGCUUUGACACUGCUCUGGGUAGAUUUACAAGUAUUUUGAGUGUGAAAAUGGACUUGCAGAGAGUCUGCCAUGUGGACGUGUUGGGUCUGCUGCACAUUCAGCUCACAGCGGCCGUCUGUCUGGAUGAGCAGGGGUUGUUAAGAGCCCAGCCCAAGGUUUAAUUAACACCAGGGCCCUGGCCUCUGUAGCUCCAAAUGGCCGCGAGGAGGGGCUGGCAUCCUGAGCUGGGUCAUGGCCUCAGCAACCAUCUACACUGAGCAGAAAGGAGUUCAGAGGGGAAAUCCCUGGAUCAGAGUCCUCUUCUGCUGUUUCUGCCAUUCUGCCUGUGAGUGUUGAAGCUGUUCCGUCUAAGCCUCCUCCCCCCUGAAAUGGGGAUGAUGGGCCUCCUGCCUGCACGCAGCAAGUGAAAAGUGGCCAGUGUCGGUGCCGCUGUAUCACGCCAACACCUUGUGCAGGAAACAGCCGGAACACGGACUGAUGAAUGUACAAGCUUGCAAGAGGCCAGGCUGGUCCUGAGAUGCAGAGCUGGCUCUGGCAUCAUGCUUUGUCCUGCCCUAGGAGUGCCACUCAGAGGAGGAUCUGGUGAUUAGAUGAUUCUAGGACACUGAGGAAGACUGCUGGUCACAGAGAGGGUGUCCUGGCUGGGCCAGGGUCCCUGGAUGUAUCGGAAUUCUCAAGCUAUAAGAAUAAUAAUAGCAGUGCAUGGCUGAGAGAGGGGACAAGGUGGAAUGCCUUGGGGAAUUAGGGAAGCACCUCUCUUGGUCAACAUGCACGGGCUGAUGGACAAGCAUCUGAAGUACAUGAGCACGAGGAAGGCAGCUCUGGUGGGCACAGCCUCCCUCCCCAGCAGUCACUUCUCCAGAGCACAGGUCAGGGCUGAGGUGCCCUUCAGCUCCAGUCUCUAUGCCAGCUAGACCUUUUGUGCAACCACUAGACCAGCUCUGAGGUCAAGGUCUUCAGUGACCUGGAGGUUCUGGAGAACUUGGAGAUGGUUCAGAGGAGUGACCCAGCCCUGAUGCUUUUGUUAGCACACAGCCUGGCACAUGGAAGGCACCAACACUUACUAGGACAGGCACAGAAGAAGGGCUCAGGCCGUGUUUGUUGGUGAGCGAGUGAGCAAAGGAGGAAAGGCUAAACCAAGGACAGACCUGGGAGUCCUACAACAGAGCUGGGUUAGAAAGAAAUGACUGUCCCAUGAGGCCUGCAAAUUGUGGCAGGGCCAUUCCUGCCACUUAAACAAGGUGAGACUGUCAUGGACACCCAGGUGUGGUCGGGCCAUGUUGCUGCACAGCCCUCUUGGUCCUGCUUGCCUUUUGAUAGACAGCCUGCAACCACAAUGCCCUUUCCCCGUGUUGCCUGCAUCCUGGCUCCCUGUCCUAUUACCUCAUCAAGGAAGGACACAGAACUGGCCACACCAUUGCCCUGGGAUCGUGUGAGGAUGUACACAGUGACCUACACUGUGCCUUCUCAGAGUGAAGUCUUUGAGACCCACAGCAACCCAGGAGGAGUCUAAAAGUACAGGUUCCUGGCUGUGUGUGGUGGCUCAUGCCUGUAAGCCUAGCAUUUUGGGAGGCUGAAACAGGAAGAUCACUUAAGGUCAGGAGUUCAAGUCCAGCCUGAACAAGGGCGAGUCCCCAUCUCUACCAAAAAAUAUAAAAAUUAACCAAGUGCAGUAGAACACACCUGUAGUCCCAGCUGUUUGGGAAACCAUGGAAGGAGAAUCUCUGUGAGAGAAAGAAGAGAAAGAAGAAACGGCUGGCUGAGGCGAGCAGAGCUCACUGUCUGGCUCUCUUGGUUCCUCAUUACAACCUUCCUGCCUCUCAUCACAGAGGUUGAAAACAUAAGAUGUCUUCUAAUAAAGAGAAACCUGAGAGUGAUUUCACACUUUCUGGAUGAUGUGCUCCAAGAGUGUGAUUCUGGAACUUAGGCAGCUGUCUUGUGACCAACAGGCAAGAGAAACCAGAGGUCGACAGGGUGACAGUAGAGGAGUAGAAGGGUGAAAACAGCCUGAGACCACAAAGGUGGCUGAGCCUCUUAAACUAUAGAGGGUGCAAAAAUACAUACAUACAUGUUUUAAGAAAGAAAAAAGUACAUUGAAAUUUUAAUACUCAGAGUAUACCAAUAAAAG